rnacentral:lncRNA from 1 species
UUUUUUUUUUUUUUUGGUAAAAGCCUUUUGUACUAGUUAUGCACCUUUCACAAAUUGAUUUCAGAUGUCCCAAAAUCCCUUUUGGUAAUUAGAAAUCUUUAGUUUCCCACUUGUUUCUUCUUUUUUACACAUGAAAUCAUGGCCCAAAUUCUUACUUAAAACAACUAUUGUAGCUCUUUCAUUAUUGAUGAUCAUCAAAGCAUAUAUCUUCAAUCUUGAAAAGCAAUAACUAAUCAAGAUUUCUUCCACUUGCAACCCAAUAAAGCAAAACCCAAUUAUUUGUGAUGACCCAAGAAAGAACAAAAGCAAGAACUAUAUUGUAAGUAAUAAACAAAUAACAAGGAAGCAAAGGCAAAGAAGAUUCUUGAUGUCAUUGUUUGUUGUUACAAUCACAAAUUUCUUUAUACCAAUCCAAAGGCUGAGAUCUACAUCCUUUCUAGUAGACCCCACCAUAAAUUAUUACAACUUCCCCUUCCUCCCCCCAUGU